rnacentral:rRNA from 1 species
CAGUCGAGCGAUGGAUUAAGAGCUUGCUCUUAUGAAGUUAGCGGCGGACGGGUGAGUAACACGUGGGUAACCUGCCCAUAAGACUGGGAUAACUCCGGGAAACCGGGGCUAAUACCGGAUAACAUUUUGAACCGCAUGGUUCGAAAUUGAAAGGCGGCUUCGGCUGUCACUUAUGGAUGGACCCGCGUCGCAUUAGCUAGUUGGUGAGGUAACGGCUCACCAAGGCAACGAUGCGUAGCCGACCUGAGAGGGUGAUCGGCCACACUGGGACUGAGACACGGCCCAGACUCCUACGGGAGGCAGCAGUAGGGAAUCUUCCGCAAUGGACGAAAGUCUGACGGAGCAACGCCGCGUGAGUGAUGAAGGCUUUCGGGUCGUAAAACUCUGUUGUUAGGGAAGAACAAGUGCUAGUUGAAUAAGCUGGCACCUUGACGGUACCUAACCAGAAAGCCACGGCUAACUACGUGCCAGCAGCCGCGGUAAUACGUAGGUGGCAAGCGUUAUCCGGAAUUAUUGGGCGUAAAGCGCGCGCAGGUGGUUUCUUAAGUCUGAUGUGAAAGCCCACGGCUCAACCGUGGAGGGUCAUUGGAAACUGGGAGACUUGAGUGCAGAAGAGGAAAGUGGAAUUCCAUGUGUAGCGGUGAAAUGCGUAGAGAUAUGGAG